ACUCCUACGGGAGGCAGCAGUGGGGAAUAUUGCACAAUGGGCGCAAGCCUGAUGCAGCCAUGCCGCGUGUAUGAAGAAGGCCUUCGGGUUGUAAAGUACUUUCAGCAGUGAGGAAGGUGGAUAUGUUAAUAGCAUAUUCAUUUGACGUUAGCUGCAGAAGAAGCACCGGCUAACUCCGUGCCAGCAGCCGCGGUAAUACGGAGGGUGCGAGCGUUAAUCGGAAUUACUGGGCGUAAAGCGCAUGCAGGUGGUUUGUUAAGUCAGAUGUGAAAGCCCGGGGCUCAACCUCGGAAUUGCAUUUGAAACUGGCAAACUAGAGUACUGUAGAGGGGGGUAGAAUUUCAGGUGUAGCGGUGAAAUGCGUAGAGAUCUGAAGGAAUACCGGUGGCGAAGGCGGCCCCCUGGACAGAUACUGACACUCAGAUGCGAAAGCGUGGGGGAGCAAAACAGGAUUAAGAUACCCUGGUAGGACUCUGC
rnacentral:rRNA from 1 species